GAUGAACGCUGGCGGCGUGCCUAAUACAUGCAAGUCGAGCGAACAGAUGAGAAGCUUGCUUCUCUGAUGUUAGCGGCGGACGGGUGAGUAACACGUGGGUAACCUACCUAUAAGACUGGGAUAACUCCGGGAAACCGGGGCUAAUACCGGAUAGUAUUUUGAACCGCAUGGUUCAAUAGUGAAAGACGGUUUCAGCUGUCACUUAUAGAUGGACCCGCGCCGUAUUAGCUAGUUGGUAAGGUAACGGCUUACCAAGGCGACGAUACGUAGCCGACCUGAGAGGGUGAUCGGCCACACGGGAACUGAGACACGGUCCAGACUCCUACGGGAGUCAGCAGUAGGGAAUCUUCCGCAAUGGGCGAAAGCCUGACGGAGCAACGCCGCGUGAGUGAUGAAGGUCUUCGGAUCGUAAAACUCUGUUGUUAGGGAAGAACAAAUUUGUUAGUAACUGAACAAGUCUUGACGGUACCUAACCAGAAAGCCACGGCUAACUACGUGCCAGCCGCCGCCGUAA
rnacentral:rRNA from 1 species